GAUGAACGCUGGCGGCGUGCCCAAUACAUGCAAGUCGAGCGAAUGGAUUAAGAGCUUGCUCUUAUGAAGUUAGCGGCGGACGGGUGAGUAACACGUGGGUAACCUGCCCAUAAGACUGGGAUAACUCCGGGAAACCGGGGCUAAUACCGGAUAACAUUUUGAACCGCAUGGUUCGAAAUUGAAAGGCUGCUUCGGCUGUCACUUAUGGAUGGACCCGCGUCGCAUUAGCUAGUUGGUGAGGUAACGGCUCACCAAGGCAACGAUGCGUAGCCGACCUGAGAGGGUGAUCGGCCACACUGGGACUGAGACACGGCCCAGACUCCUACGGGAGGCAGCAGUAGGGAAUCUUCCGCAAUGGACGAAAGUCUGGCGGAGCAACGCCGCGUGAGUGAUGAAGGCUUUCGGGUCGUAAAACUCUGUUGUUAGGGAAGAACAAGUGCUAGUUGAAUAAGCUGGCACCUUGACGGUACCUAACCAGAAAGCCACGGCUAACUACGUGCCAGCCGCCGCCGUAA
rnacentral:rRNA from 1 species